rnacentral:misc_RNA from 1 species
AUUCUUCCACAUCUUGCUUGGGACUUCUACUUCUGUUUUGAUGGCCAUUUCCACCAGCAGGAUAAGCAUCCGAAUCCUUGGAAACACUUAACCUCCCACCCACCAUUAUGAGGAAAUGGUGGAUUAUGGUCCAGAUAGAAUCGUGCAAAUGUAGCAGGACAGAAGAAAUUUGUAUCUUGAGACACCAUGGAGGCACCAGUUGUGUCAUGCCCAAAGAGCCUGCCAGAACCACUCCUUGAAUAUUUUCCAUUUUGGGGAGAGACUGAAGGAUCCCAUUGAGGGGGGAACUCUCGUUCAUGAAAGGAUGAUGAUAAACAGUCACCUGAGGCCCUAGAAAUUGGUGAAAUGAGACUGCUGGCAGGACUUCCAGGAUAAAGUGAAUACGUAGCUUGAAGAUCACUAGUAGCAAUGUAAUUGCUCUUCUCAGUGCUUUUGAGAUCUGCAGAAGAUGACAGGAAUUGAGCAAAAGGCACGUCUGGGGA